rnacentral:rRNA from 1 species
AGAGUUUGAUCAUGGCUCAGGACGAACGCUGGCGGCGUGCCUAAUACAUGCAAGUAGAACGCUGAAGAGAGGAGCUUGCUCUUCUUGGAUGAGUUGCGAACGGGUGAGUAACGCGUAGGUAACCUGCCUUGUAGCGGGGGAUAACUAUUGGAAACGAUAGCUAAUACCGCAUAACAAUGGAUGACACAUGUCAUUUAUUUGAAAGGGGCAAUUGCUCCACUACAAGAUGGACCUGCGUUGUAUUAGCUAGUAGGUGAGGUAAUGGCUCACCUAGGCGACGAUACAUAGCCGACCUGAGAGGGUGAUCGGCCACACUGGGACUGAGACACGGCCCAGACUCCUACGGGAGGCAGCAGUAGGGAAUCUUCGGCAAUGGGGGCAACCCUGACCGAGCAACGCCGCGUGAGUGAAGAAGGUUUUCGGAUCGUAAAGCUCUGUUGUAAGUCAAGAACGGGUGUGAGAGUGGAAAGUUCACACUGUGACGGUAGCUUACCAGAAAGGGACGGCUAACUACGUGCCAGCAACCGCGGUAAUACGUAGGUCCCGAGCGUUGUCCGGAUUUAUUGGGCGUAAAGCGAGCGCAGGCGGUUUGAUAAGUCUGAAGUUAAAGGCUGUGGCUCAACCAUAGUUCGCUUUGGAAACUGUCAAACUUGAGUGCAGAAGGGGAGAGUGGAAUUCCAUGUGUAGCGGUGAAAUGCGUAGAUAUAUGGAGGAACACCGGUGGCGAAAGCGGC